rnacentral:lncRNA from 1 species
CUUACUCUGACACCCAGACUGGAGUGCAGUGGCGUGAUCAUGGCUCACUGCAGCCUUGGACUCCCGGGCUCAAACCAUCCUCCUGCCUCAGCUUCCCAAGUAGCUGAGACUACAGGCUGUGAGCUGAUUUGUACCUGGGAAAGCCAAAGUGUUCACAUAGACUAAGUCAGAAUAAGCUCCUCCAACUCGACUUGAUCCUGGGUGCAGAAAAUGCUGGAAGCCUGACACAAUCACAGCCCAAAGGGAGCAAAUGAAAAGAAAUCCUCUGAAUGAAAUUUGGGGUCUCACUUCGGGCAGCACCCACCCUCUGCAAAAGGGAGAUGUUUCCACAGCUGCUGAUCCUGGAUCCAGAGGCAGCACUCCCUCCACGAGGGACACUCGGGCAUUGUAAACUCAAGCAUCCCUUUGUUUUCCAUUCUUCACUCAGACAUUCCUGAUGACUAACUAGGGAUCAAUAUAAAUCACGUCAUUGUGAUCUCGGGUCUUUUCCUGCUAAAGAAAAGUAGAGAGUAUAAGGAAAUGACGGUGGUUUGAAAACAGAAAGCAAAAGUACUCCCUACAAAAGUUAUCUGGAGCUAUUAGGAAAACAAGGAAGAGGCUCCUGGUGAUUUGGAAGCCGGGCCAAGGUCUAGGAUGCAAUUGAUGUCAAUAGGUCCUUUGCAGGUAGAGGGACAGGUGAGGUCAUAGUCUGACGUCUGUUCUUACAGGGCUCCUCCCUGGAAAUGACUCGCUCUCUCUGUACUCAUUUCCUCUCAAGGCUUUGUUCCAGCAAGGGUUUCUUUUGAAAUAGGAGAAUCCCAGGUGGCACAGGAUGGGAUGGGGUCUCAGUGGGAGCAGUUGCUGCAAUUGCGAAAGAGGAGGAGGAGGAGGAGGAGGGGAAAGAGGCAAUACUUCCAGCCUCCAGGGAAAAUCUCUGUGCUUGCUGCCUUAUCACAGUGACUGGAAAUCCACCCUCAGAUGCACACACAAAGCUGUCAUUAACAGAAGCUUCACGUGCACCCCGGAAAGCAAAAUUGGGCACUCGGCUUCAAAGGAAACGGCUUCUUCCUUCACAAUACUUCAUCACUAAAUGGUUGUCUGGCAUGUUUGUUUUUUCAAAUGUCCACAUUUUAUUUGUCCAACUGAUUGUCUCUUUAUCAGCAGCAGCCAGGACCACAGCUGAACUGUUUGUGAGUUGGUAGUUUAUAAAAUCAAUGCUAAGUCUUUGCUAGUGUUUCUCUAACACGCUCAUUUGUAUUUAUUCGUCUCAGAAGUCAAAGAAAAAAACAC